rnacentral:rRNA from 1 species
CUAUAAUGCAAGUCGAGCGAAUGAUGAGGAGCUUGCUCCUCUGAUUUAGCGGCGGACGGGUGAGUAACACGUGGGUAAUCUGCCUGUAAGACGGGGAUAACUCCGGGAAACCGGGGCUAAUACCGGAUAAUAAGAGAAGAAGCAUUUCUUCUUUUUGAAAGUCGGUUUCGGCUGACACUUACAGAUGAGCCCGCGGCGCAUUAGCUAGUUGGUGAGGUAACGGCUCACCAAGGCGACGAUGCGUAGCCGACCUGAGAGGGUGAUCGGCCACACUGGGACUGAGACACGGCCCAGACUCCUACGGGAGGCAGCAGUAGGGAAUCUUCGGCAAUGGGCGAAAGCCUGACCGAGCAACGCCGCGUGAGCGAUGAAGGCCUUCGGGUCGUAAAGCUCUGUUGUUAGAGAAGAACAAGUACGAGAGUAACUGCUCGUACCUUGACGGUACCUAACCAGAAAGCCACGGCUAACUACGUGCCAGCAGCCGCGGUAAUACGUAGGUGGCAAGCGUUAUCCGGAAUUAUUGGGCGUAAAGCGCGCGCAGGCGGUCUCUUAAGUCUGAUGUGAAAGCCCACGGCUCAACCGUGGAGGGUCAUUGGAAACUGGGAGACUUGAGUGCAGGAGAGAAAAGUGGAAUUCCACGUGUAGCGGUGAAAUGCGUAG